rnacentral:rRNA from 1 species
UACGUAGGGUGCGAGCGUUGUCCGGAAUUAUUGGGCGUAAAGGGCUCGUAGGCGGUUUGUCGCGUCGGGAGUGAAAACCUCGGGCUUAACUCGGGGCUUGCUUUCGAUACGGGCAGACUGGAGGUAUGCAGGGGAGAACGGAAUUCUUGGUGUAGCAGUGAAAUGCGUAGAUAUCAAGAGGAACACCAGUGGCGAAGGCGAGUCCCUGGACAACACCUGACACUGAGACACGAAAGCUAGGGGAGCAAACAGG